CCAGAGGGCCGGGCGACCGCGUGGGAACUUCCCACGAGGAAAGUCCGGGCUCCACGGAAACGGCGGUGCCGGGUAACGCCCGGCGGGGGUGACCCCAGGGAAAGUGCCACAGAGAGCAGACGGCCCGGUUUCGACCGGGUCACGGUGAAAGGGUGCGGUAAGAGCGCACCGCGGGACCGGUAACGGUCGCGGCAUGGCAAACCCCACCGGGAGCAAGACCGAAUAGGGACGGCAUAAGGGCUGCGUUCCGGCCCGUCGUCCGGGUUGGUUGCUUGAGGCGGCGUGCGAGCGUCGCCCUAGAGGAAUGGUCGCCCAGUCCCGCAAGGGAUGGACAGAACCCGGCUUACAGGCCCUCUGGCAUU
rnacentral:RNase_P_RNA from 1 species